rnacentral:rRNA from 1 species
UACGUAGGUGGCAAGCGUUGUCCGGAAUCACUGGGCGUAAAGCGCGCGCAGGCGGCGAUCUACGUCUGGGGUGAAAGCCCGGAGCUCAACUCCGGGACUGCCUUGGAUACGGGAUCGCUUGAGGAUUGGAGAGGCAAGGGGAAUUCCACGUGUAGCGGUGAAAUGCGUAGAGAUGUGGAGGAACACCUGUGGCGAAGGCGCCUUGCUGGCCAAUUUCUGACGCUGAGGCGCGAAAGCGUGGGGAGCAAAC